rnacentral:rRNA from 1 species
GAUGAACGCUGGCGGCGUGCCUAAUACAUGCAAGUCGAACGCACAGCGAAAGGUGCUUGCACCUUUCAAGUGAGUGGCGAACGGGUGAGUAACACGUGGACAACCUGCCUCAAGGCUGGGGAUAACAUUUGGAAACAGAUGCUAAUACCGAAUAAAACUUAGUGUCGCAUGACACAAAGUUAAAAGGAGCUUCGGCGUCACCUAGAGAUGGAUCCGCGGUGCAUUAGUUAGUUGGUGGGGUAAAGGCCUACCAAGACAAUGAUGCAUAGCCGAGUUGAGAGACUGAUCGGCCACAUUGGGACUGAGACACGGCCCAAACUCCUACGGGAGGCUGCAGUAGGGAAUCUUCCACAAUGGGCGAAAGCCUGAUGGAGCAACGCCGCGUGUGUGAUGAAGGCUUUCGGGUCGUAAAGCACUGUUGUAUGGGAAGAACAGCUAGAAUAGGAAAUGAUUUUAGUUUGACGGUACCAUACCAGAAAGGGACGGCUAAAUACGUG